UACAGAGGUCUCGAGCGUUAGGCGGAAUCACUGGGCUUAAAGCGUGUGUAGGCGGAUCGGUAAGUACCUUGUGAAAUCCCACAGCUUAACUGUGGAACUGCUUGGUAUACUGCCAGUCUUGAGCCAGCUAGGGGCUACCGGAACAAAUGGUGGAGCGGUGAAAUGCGUAGAUAUCAGGAGGAACACCUGUGGCGAAAGCGGCUCACUGGACCAUAACUGACGCUGAUGCACGAAAGCUAGGGGAGCAAACAGG
rnacentral:rRNA from 1 species